ensembl:lncRNA
AGGAAGUGCUCGUGAUGAUGAUGAUCUCAUCCAUUCUGAAAUGCUUUUACUUCAAAAAAAAUAAUCCUUUUCAAAGAGAACAACCAAUCGACACUGCUCCUGAGGUUCUUAAUGCUGAUUCAUGCUAAAGGAAAAAUAAAUCUCAGCAGCAGGUUUAAAUGCAGUUUAAAUGUGUUUCAAGUCCAAAUAAGGAAUAUUACAUUCAGUAAUUAUAAAUUGUAACUAAAAUUAAAUAGAUAAAAUUAAAUAGAUGAAAAUGUUGCUAAGGAAAUAAACCCUUUGAUAUAGGGUUAAUGUUUAAUUCACUGCUUCAGCUAACAGUUUAUAACUUUUCUUUAAGUUUAGAUCACACCUGGCGAUCUGUGACUAACAUGAAACUGGUGGCAGUUUUUGAUUUGAUGCCCCCUAGUGGACAUGUUAAUAAUACCUAUUGAUACCACCUACACACAAUGCUCUCGUAUGGCUGCAGAAGUUUACACCAAACCUUACCAGCUAGGGUUAGUUAGCUUUAGAUCUUGCUGCUGUAUUUUGCUUUACCUUAAAACAGGCACACUGCCCUCUGUUAAUAUUGGCACCCUUGGUAAAUAUGAACAAAGAAGGCUGUGAAAAAUUGUCUUUAUUGAUUAACCUUUUGAUCUUUUGUUUAAAAAAAAUCACAAACAUACUCUACUCUCAUGGAUAUCAAACAAUUACACACACAACACAGGUUGUGUUACCACAAAAUCAACAUCCUGCCAUGACCAUCCCAGUCCACUUACUUGAACCCCAUAGAAAACCUGUGGGGUGAACUGAAGAGGAGAGUUGACCAGCGUGCCCCUUGAAAUGUGAAGGAUCUGGAGAGGUUCUGUAUGGAGGAACGCUCUCAGAUCCCUCGCCAUGUAUUCUCCAACCUCAUCAGCGUUAUAGGAGAAGACUCAGAGCUGUUAUCUUGACAAAGAUAGAUAGCACAAAGUACUGUCUAAAAGGGUGCCAAUAAUUGUUGCACAACAAUAUUUAACUGAUCUUUUUUGUUUGUAAUUGUUUGAUAUUCAUGAGAGUAGAGUAUUUUUGUAAAUUUUUUAACAAAAGAUCAAAAGGUUAAACAAUAAAGACAAUUUUCACAGCCUUCUGUGUUCAUAUUUUCCAAGGGUACCAAUAUUAAUGGAGGACACUGUAUGUGUAGUGCUUUUUGUUUGUUUUUUUUAAGAAAAAGUUCACCAUGAUGUUACUGUGUGUGUGUAAUCAGAAGAGAACUGGAUGAAAACUUGUUUCUUUUAUUUCUACCUGAAAAGAAAAACAUUUAUACUUAGCAUUUCUUCUCUCCUCGUGCCUCCAAAACAGCUGUGAGGCGUCGAGGCAUGAACUCCACCAGACCUCUGACGGUGCGCUGUGGGAUCUGACACCGAGACGUCAGCAGCAGAUCCUGUAAGUCCUGUAAGUUGUGAGGCGGGGUCUCUGUGGAUCGGACUCGUUUGUCCAGAACGUCCCACGGACGCCGGAUCGGAUCGAGAUCUGGGGAAUCCGGAGGCCGAGUCAACACCUCGAACUCUGUCGUGUUCCUCAAACCGUUCCUGAACAGUUUCUGCAGUGUGUGAGGGAGCGUUAUCCUGCUGAGAGAGGACACUGAUAUUAGAGAACACCGUCACCAUGAAGGGGUGAACUCGGUCUGGAGCAGUGUUUAGGUAGGUGCUACGCGACCCGAAGUCUCCCAACAGAUUAUUCUCCAGAACAUCACACUGCCUCUGCCAGCUCGUCUUCUUCCCAUAAUGCAUACUGGUGCCAUCUCUUCUCCAGGUAAGCGACACACACACACACACAC